AGAGUUUGAUCAUGGCUCAGAUUGAACGCUGGCGGAAUGCUUUACACAUGCAAGUCGAACGGCAGCACGGGGCAACCUGGUGGCGAGUGGCAAACGGGUGAGUAAUACAUCGGAACGUGCCCAAUCGUGGGGGAUAACGUAGCGAAAGUUACGCUAAUACCGCAUACGAUCUACGGAUGAAAGCGGGGGAUCGCAAGACCUCGCGCGAGUGGAGCGGCCGAUGUCAGAUUAGGUAGUUGGUGGGGUAAAGGCUCACCAAGCCAACGAUCUGUAGCUGGUCUGAGAGGACGACCAGCCACACUGGAACUGAGACACGGUCCAGACUCCUACGGGAGGCAGCAGUGGGGAAUUUUGGACAAUGGGCGCAAGCCUGAUCCAGCCAUUACGCGUGCAGGAUGAAGGCCUUCGGGUUGUAAACUGCUUUUGUACGGAACGAAACGGCGAGCUCUAAUACAGUUUGCUAAUGACGGUACCGUAAGAAUAAGCACCGGCUAACUACGUG
rnacentral:rRNA from 1 species